AUGGCCUGUUGCAGGAGCACCUCUGUGCACUCCUGGCACAGGCACAGGUGCCUGCAGGGCAGCAGCAGCACUGUCUUGGUUUGGUCUUGGCAGAUGACACACUUCUUACGCUCCUCUUGCUCUUUCAGCAGCGCCCAGGGGUCGUCGUCCGGCGCUCCCUCGGCGUUCCCGGCUGCCGCGUUCAGCUGCUGCUUCCUCGGAGCCUUCCCCCAGGACGUGCCCGGCUCCUGCCUGCCUGCCUGGGGACGCUGGGCUGCGGCAGCAACGGCUUCAGGGCAGGGCGUGGCAGCGGCAAAUGUGUCCUGCCUCAGCAGCUCCCUCUUCAUCCGCAGCCUGCCACGCACCCUGCCAUGGGCGCUCCGGCGCGUUACCCGGGGGCGCGGCUGUGCCACCUGCUCCUCAGCCAGCAGCCGGCCCAGCGCCCUGGGCACGGCCACAGCCCCUCGCUGGUCGCUGCCCCGGUUCGUCCCUCUGCCUCCUCGGCUCCAGUUGGUCACCUGCAGGCUCCAGUCCGUGACCUGCAGCGCCCAGUCCGCCAGCCUGCGCCAGGGCUGGGAGGUGAUGGCCAUGCCCACGCUCAGGAUGGCCACCUGGUAGAGCCGCCACGCGUCCCUCUUCAAGCGCUGGAAGGUGGGCAGAGCGAGGAAGUAUCCCUGGAAGUACCCCAGGAAGUGUCCCACCAGCGUCCACAGCAGCCCGGGGUUGAGGAGGAACUCGCUCCCAACCGCCACGAUGAGGUGCUAGCAGACCAACCCCAGCCCGUAGACGUUUGACGAAAGAAACGCUGACGAAGAUCUGGGCGGUGGUGUCAGAGCAGCUCGAGGGCCAGCUGGCAGGGCGACCACAGCAGGAUGGACACGGCGAUGGCCCCGCUGGACACGUGCGCCAGGAAGGCGGCGAGCAGCUCGGACAGCCGGAGCGCCGGCCCCGCCAGCGAGUCCCAGAGCGCGGCCAGCAGCGUGAGCAGGUUCUGCGCCGCCCAGCAGGCCCAACACGAUUGACCAGGCUGUUGGGCCAGGGGUACUAUCAG
rnacentral:lncRNA from 1 species